GGAUUUGAAGAAAGUGAAUCAAAAUCCACUGUUAUUGGAUUAAGGAUUUAUCAAUUAGAAUUUGAAAAGAAUUAUUUUCCCCUGUUAUUCAAUAUCACACAGAUUUUCGUGAGAAAUUAGUUAUAAUGGAUUUUGAGGAACUUUUCAGUAAAAAACAAGAAGAAACAAAUCCUACUUUUUUUAUCUGGUUUUCGAAAGAAACCCAAAACAGCUUCCUUUUUUUCUCUUCCGUUCUUCACCAAACUUUUCACCGAAUCCCUAACCACUCAGCGUUUCUCUCCUACUCCACCGUUCACCUCCGUGACUCCGUCUCGCAGUCCUACAAACCUUCCGCUGGAACCUCGUUUGCUUUGAAUCAAUCGCAGUCGCGAAAGCUCUAGCUGAUACCUCGGUCUUUACGGCGCGUUUGCAGAGAAGAGAAUUGAAAGCCAAUGCUAAGGUUGUUCCCCUUAAUCUGUAGCAGUUUUUAUUCAAGAAGUUCUUGGAAUAAAAAAAUCUGGUGGUGAUAAGGAGAGAGUUGAGUACGUGAAACAAAAGGCAAGGAGUAUGCAAACAGUACCUUGGCCAAACAGUACCUUGGCCUGAGAUGUUGUUGUAACAGAGUAUGCAGAUGCCACUUUACAAUUUUCACAUCCUGUGGUUGAUCUCUUAUCCUUUUUCACUCACAGAAACUUGUCAAUGAUGAGAUAGAGCAGGUGAAAGGUUUGGCACUCCAGUGUUGCUUUUCGUGAAACUCUCGUGUAAGCGUCGUCAUCUCGCAUCUUCAACGGCUCAAGUCUUGGAUCAAAAUACUGUAUAAAAUCCUUCACAGAAAUCAAUGUACUUCAAACCAUUCUAUCUAAAUCCUACUCAUCGAUUGUAGAAUCCA